CCUACGGGGCGCAGCAGUGGGGAAUAUUGGGCAAUGGGCGCAAGCCUGACCCAGCAACGCCGCGUGAAGGAAGAAGGCUUUCGGGUUGUAAACUUCUUUUCUCAGGGACGAAGCAAGUGACGGUACCUGAGGAAUAAGCCACGGCUAACUACGUGCCAGCAGCCGCGGUAAUACGUAGGUGGCAAGCGUUAUCCGGAUUUACUGGGUGUAAAGGGCGAGUAGGCGGGAAAGCAAGUCAGAUGUGAAAACCAUGGGCUCAACCUGUGGCCUGCAUUUGAAACUGUUUUUCUUGAGUACUGGAGAGGCAGACGGAAUUCCUAGUGUAGCGGUGAAAUGCGUAGAUAUUAGGAGGAACACCAGUGGCGAAGGCGGUCUGCUGGACAGCAACUGACGCUGAGGCGCGAAAGCGUGGGGAGCAAACAGGAUUAGAUACCCCAGUAGUC
rnacentral:rRNA from 1 species